AUUGAACGCUGGCGGUAUGCUUAACACAUGUAAGUCGAACGGUAGCAGGCCUUCGGGUGCUGACGAGUGGCGGACGGGUGAGUAAUGCAUAGGAAUCUGCCCUGUAGUGGGGGACAACUUAGGGAAACUUAAGCUAAUACCGCAUACGCCCUGAGGGGGAAAGCGGGGGACCGUAAGGCCUCGCGCUAUAGGAUGAGCCUAUGUUGGAUUAGCUAGUUGGUAGGGUAAAGGCCUACCAAGGCGACGAUCCAUAGCUGGUCUGAGAGGAUGAUCAGCCAAACUGGGACUGAGACACGGCCCAGACGCCUACGGGAGGCAGCAGUGGGGAAUCUGGGACAAUGGGCGCAAGCCUGAUCCAGCAAUGCCGCGUGGGUGAAGAAGGCCUUCGGGUUGUAAAGCCCUUUGGUUUGGGAGCAAAUCCUACGGGUUAAUACCCUGUGGGGAUGAGAGUACCAAAAGAAUCAGCACCGGCUAACUACGUGCCAGCCGCCGCGGUAACAC
rnacentral:rRNA from 1 species